CCAUUGUGGAGGUAUUGCUGCACUGUUUCCAAUGGAGCUCAAUACACUUUCUGCCGUUUUGUAAGAAGAACAAGCAGUUAUAGCCUCAAAAAGCCACUGGAGUGACGUGGAGAAGUAGAAUUGACAGUUUUUAGCCUGUCGGUCCAUUGUAGCAAGUGAUAGUAUACCUCCACAAUGGCGGCCUGAAAAAUUUUCCAUUUACGGUAUCCCAAUGAAUAUCAUUAUAAAUCGGCAACGUCAUUCACAGGAAAGAUAUGAAUUCAUGAAUAUAUUUAGCACCAAGAGGUCUAUAUUUAAGGUGCUACAUUUUCCCUAAUAGGUUAUUUCAAAGAUCUUGCAAAAAUUAAUUUACUAAAAUUAACUUUGUGAAUACAAAAAUAGUAAACGUUAAGCAAUUGGUAAAUUUUCUAGCUAACAUCAGGCAGAAAAUGAAAUAUUUUAUACAUCGUAUAAUAAUCAUAACAAUAAUCUCAAUAUUACUCAUUUUAUAGAUAAUUCUUACUAUAACUCAGUUCCAUCAUUUGAUGUACCACGUUAGGCUCGUACUCGGUGACUCCCAUCUCCUUCAAUAUACCCUCCAUAACAGCUCCAUCCCUUGAAUCAGAACCUCGAUCAGAACCACCAGACGCCAUCUUGAAA